UACAGAGGGGGCAAGCGUUAUUCGGAAUUAUUGGGCGUAAAGGGCGCGUAGGCGGCCUGGCAAGUGGAAGGUGAAAUCCCUCGGCUUAACCGAGGAACUGCCCUCCAAACUGCUUGGCUUGAGUCCGGGAGAGGUGAGCGGAAUUCCCAGUGUAGCGGUGAAAUGCGUAGAUAUUGGGAGGAACACCAGUGGCGAAGGCGGCUCACUGGACCGGAACUGACGCUGAGGCGCGAAAGCGUGGGGAGCAAACGGG
rnacentral:rRNA from 1 species